rnacentral:lncRNA from 1 species
AUGUGAACAGGGGGCAAUUUUGUAAAUACCCAAACAACUUUUAAAACAAGCGCAUAUGAUCGGACUUCAAUCAGAAAAUUAACUAUAUCCAAUAUUAUCUUUCACGUCCAGGAAAUAUCCCCAAUCUAUCUCCCCAAUCUGAACCUGAUUCUCUUUCACGAUUAUCUCAACAUUUCACCAUCAUAUCAAAUCAGUUCGUCUGUUACAAACAAAUACAUCAUCGACUCAAAUACAUAAUCACAUUCACCAUCAUCAGUUCACCAUUUCGAAGCAUUUGGAGUGACAUUUUAUCGGAGAUUUGAUAUUUUACAAGCAUAUAUUUCAGAUUUCGUCAUAUAAUUGAGAAUUGCACUGGAAAGAAAGUCGGAAAAGAAAAUGAAAAAAGUUACAUUUGUAUGAAAGUCGAGGGACGAAGAGUCAUCACUGUAAGACGCAGUCACAAGUCACAACAGAAAAAGUAUAUGUAUAGUAAACAAAAAGAUGUGAAAAAAGUUGUAAAAAAGGACAUGAAUGUGAGGAAUAAUAAAUGAAAACAGGUGGAAACACCAAACAAAGGUGUUGGUGAGGUACGCAUGACAAAGAACAGAAGGUUAUCAACAUCUAAAGUUGGUGAUAAAGAUGACAAUGUUGUUGAUGAAAAAAUUAGAAUGGGCAACAAGUGAUAAUUUCAACGAUUGCGGUGUGUUCGCUAUGCGACACAUGGAGAUGUACAAAGGGAGCGAUGUCAAGUUUGAAUGCGGUUUUAGUACGCGGAAAGAUAUUCAAGACAUGCAACUGAAAAACUUGAGGAUGAAGAUAGCAACAAAAUUGUUACUAUCAGAGGCAAACAUGUACAAGGAAACUGUUAUGUGACUUGCAAAAGAGACAACACGUGGUUUGAGAGAUGAAAAAAUGCAGAAAAUGUUAGACAAAGAGGCGGUGAAACAAGAAAAAUGUUGGAAUAUGCUUGACAAAUGGAAGAAUGAGGACAAAGUUUGAGGGUAUGAGUUAACACAGCAGGUUAUUAACUGUAGGAACAUAUAGUAUUUCUGUUUUGUAGGUGAUUUAUGUUAAUGAAACUAUUACUUUGUUUAAUUUUGUUUAUUUUAACACGUCAGAUGGUACUUUGUUAUAAUGUCGUUUAUAGUUUUGGUUAAAAGUUGUUGACAACAUAUGGUAUAGCAGUUGAUAUAGUAAUCAGUUGGUAUUUUAG